rnacentral:rRNA from 1 species
AGAGUUUGAUCCUGGCUCAGGACGAACGCUGGCGGCGUGCCUAAUACAUGCAAGUAGAACGCUGAAGAGAGGAGCUUGCUCUUCUUGGAUGAGUUGCGAACGGGUGAGUAACGCGUAGGUAACCUGCCUUGUAGCGGGGGAUAACUAUUGGAAACGAUAGCUAAUACCGCAUAACAAUGGAUGACCCAUGUCAUUUAUUUGAAAGGGGCAAAUGCUCCACUACAAGAUGGACCUGCGUUGUAUUAGCUAGUAGGUGAGGUAACGGCUCACCUAGGCGACGAUACAUAGCCGACCUGAGAGGGUGAUCGGCCACACUGGGACUGAGACACGGCCCAGACUCCUACGGGAGGCAGCAGUAGGGAAUCUUCGGCAAUGGGGGCAACCCUGACCGAGCAACGCCGCGUGAGUGAAGAAGGUUUUCGGAUCGUAAAGCUCUGUUGUAAGUCAAGAACGAGUGUGAGAGUGGAAAGUUCACACUGUGACGGUAGCUUACCAGAAAGGGACGGCUAACUACGUGCCAGCAGCCGCGGUAAUACGUAGGUCCCGAGCGUUGUCCGGAUUUAUUGGGCGUAAAGCGAGCGCAGGCGGUUUGAUAAGUCUGAAGUUAAAGGCUGUGGCUCAACCAUAGUUCGCUUUGGAAACUGUCAAACUUGAGUGCAGAAGGGGAGAGUGGAAUUCCAUGUGUAGCGGUGAAAUGCGUAGAUAUAUGGAGGAACACCGGUGGCGAAAGCGGCUCUCUGGUCUGUAACUGACGCUGAGGCUCGAAAGCGUGGGGAGCGAACAGGAUUAGAUACCCUGGUAGUCCACGCCGUAAACGAUGAGUGCUAGGUGUUGGAUCCUUUCCGGGAUUCAGUGCCGCAGCUAACGCAUUAAGCACUCCGCCUGGGGAGUACGACCGCAAGGUUGAAACUCAAAGGAAUUGACGGGGGCCCGCACAAGCGGUGGAGCAUGUGGUUUAAUUCGAAGCAACGCGAAGAACCUUACCAGGUCUUGACAUCCCGAUGCUAUUUCUAGAGAUAGAAAGUUACUUCGGUACAUCGGUGACAGGUGGUGCAUGGUUGUCGUCAGCUCGUGUCGUGAGAUGUUGGGUUAAGUCCCGCAACGAGCGCAACCCCUAUUGUUAGUUGCCAUCAUUCAGUUGGGCACUCUAGCGAGACUGCCGGUAAUAAACCGGAGGAAGGUGGGGAUGACGUCGAAUCAUCAUGCCCCUUAUGACCUGGGCUACACACGUGCUACAAUGGUUGGUACAACGAGUUGCGAGUCGGUGACGGCAAGCUAAUCUCUUAAAGCCAAUCUCAGUUCGGAUUGUAGGCUGCAACUCGCCUACAUGAAGUCGGAAUCGCUAGUAAUCGCGGAUCAGCACGCCGCGGUGAAUACGUUCCCGGGCCUUGUACACACCGCCCGUCACACCACGAGAGUUUGUAACACCCGAAGUCGGUGAGGUAACCUUUUGGAGCCAGCCGCCUAAGGUGGGAUAGAUGAUUGGGGUGAAGUCGUAACAAGGUA